rfam:Populus trichocarpa scaffold_17_contig_305, whole genome shotgun sequence.
GGGUGCGAUCAUACCAGCACUAAUGCACCGAAUCCGAUCAGAACUCCGCAGUUAAACAUGCUUGGGUGAGAGUAGUGCUAGGAUGGGUGACCUCCUUGGAAGUCCUCGUGUUGCACCCC